UACAGAGACUGCAAGCGUUAUUCGGAUUCACUAGGCGUAAAGGGUGCGCAGGCGGCCAAGUGUGUGAGGCGUGAAAGCCCGGGGCUUAACCCCGGAAUUGCACCUCAAACUACAUGGCUAGAGCAUUGGAGAGGGUAGCGGAAUUCACGGUGUAGCAGUGAAAUGCGUAGAUAUCGUGAGGAACACCAGAGGCGAAGGCGGCUACCUGGACAAUUGCUGACGCUCAGGCACGAAAGCGUGGGGAGCAAAAGGG
rnacentral:rRNA from 1 species